rnacentral:lncRNA from 1 species
GUUGCAUUCAUUUAUUAGCUAAACGACAUCAAGCACUAUUACAUCAAUAUACACGUAAAAUAAUCAAAUUAAAGCCAUUAAAUUAUGUGUGAAGGAGAAAGUAUGAAAGCGCCACGCUGGCAUCACUGCCUCCUUUUGGAAUCGUUCGUUUGAUAUUUGAAAAUGAAAAGCCUUAACCAAAAAGAUGUUUUGCCACAAGAGGUGGAUAUACAUUUACAAAUGUCAAAGUUAUUUAAUGUGUAUGGAGUAAAUUUAAUUUUCAAAUAUAAUUGUUUUGAACUUGACAAUUUCAAAUUCAAAAUAUUUAAUCGUUAAGAAAACAAUUCCAAAUUAUGGCUGCUAUCAUAUCUCCUUUUUUAUACUUUUGAUCAAAACGACUUGAAACCAAAAGCAAGUACACAAUUGCGUUACACAUUGCACAUUUAAACUUUUAAUCAUAGUUUGCUCAUUUAACACACAUAAACAACACACAAAGUUAUCAAUAGAAAAUUCGGAUUUUCGACAUAACUAAAACAUGUUAUACAUUAUUAAAAAAAUCUGACGUAUCUCACUUAAUUACAAUUUUCUAAAUUUGAUAGAUGCUUUAUGUGCUUCUUUGUUAAAUAUUUGUUUGCUUUUGCUCUUAUUGAGAUUGUGACAAAAUGAUGUACCCCAACUUUGACAAUUUUACCUAUUUUAAUAAAAUUGAGAAAGGAAAUGGGGAAUGUGUCAAAGCAACAAGAACCCGACCAUAAAGCAGACAACAGCCGAAUGCCAUGUUUGAUUUGUUCACGCAUCGUUGUAAAUAUUAUUGAAUAUGAUGCCACUGUCAUACAAAUGAGAGGUUUCGCCGUUUUAAACCAGGUUUAAUCCACCAUUAUCUUAUUUGAAAAUGCCAGUACCAAGUCAGGUAUAUGACAGUUAUUGUCUAUUCAUUUGAUGUGCUUUAUCAUUUGAUUUGGCCAUUUGAUUAGGGACUUUUCGUUUUUAUUUUCCUCGGAGUUAUUUUUUUUUGUAAUUUUACUUUUUUUCGAAUACUAUUAAUUUUAAGCCAAAAAUAAAGGCACGAUAUCUCUGCUAUUAACGAUAAUAAUUAAAUACGUAUACAUUUUAGUACUGGUGUAAUGCAAGCUGCUAACAUAUUGUAAUUACUAUCAUAUUAUUUUAUGUUUUGACUAAUUUGCCUUUUUAAAUUCGUAAGAAAUAUAAACAUACCAUUGAGGUUUUGGUUGAUGUUCCUUGAUUAGUACGUAUUUAACCCAACAAAACGUUGUGGUGAAUACUUUGAAAAUUCUCAAGAAUGCAUUGAGUCCAGGUAUCUAUAAUGAGUUUAUUUAUAUUCUUAAACGGUCAUGUUGGAAACUAUCUCAUAUUCAAAAUGCAAAACGUUACCAAAUGUAAGCGUGUAAUUAAUAACAAUAAUGCACAUCAUGCACACUACUACUCUAACUGGAUCCAUUUAGAGUUGCAUGCCAUUGCUUUGCGGCAUCAAUAUAUUGUAUCGCAUGUCAACAUCGACAUUAUAACGUUUUCCACACUAAUGGUAAUGUACACGAUGCGUACAUUUUGAAUAGAAAAUUUAAGGAGUUCCAUUUUUGAAA